GACGAACGCUGGCGGCGUGCCUAAUACAUGCAAGUAGAACGCACAGUUUAUACCGUAGCUUGCUACACCAUAAACUGUGAGUUGCGAACGGGUGAGUAACGCGUAGGUAACCUGCCUGGUAGCGGGGGAUAACUAUUGGAAACGAUAGCUAAUACCGCAUAAUAUUGAUUAUUGCAUGAUAAUUGAUUGAAAGAUGCUAUUGCAUCACUACCAGAUGGACCUGCGUUGUAUUAGCUAGUAGGUGAGGUAACGGCUCACCUAGGCGACGAUACAUAGCCGACCUGAGAGGGUGAUCGGCCACACUGGGACUGAGACACGGCCCAGACUCCUACGGGAGGCAGCAGUAGGGAAUCUUCGGCAAUGGACGAAAGUCUGACCGAGCAACGCCGCGUGAGUGAAGAAGGUUGUCGGAUCGUAAAGCUCGGUUGUAAGAGAAGAACGGGUGUGAGAGUGGAAAGUUCACACUGUGACGGUAUCUUACCAGAAAGGGACGGCUAACUACGUG
rnacentral:rRNA from 1 species